rnacentral:rRNA from 1 species
AGUGAACGCUGGCGGUAGGCCUAACACAUGCAAGUCGAACGGCAGCACAGUAAGCGCUUGCUCUUACGGGUGGCGAGUGGCGGACGGGUGAGGAAUACAUCGGCAUCUAAUUUUUCGUGGGGGAUAACGUAGGGAAACUUACGCUAAUACCGCAUACGAUCUACGGGUGAAAGCAGGGGAGCUUCGGACCUUGCGCGAUUGAAUGAGCCGAUGUCGGAUUAGCUAGUUGGCGGGGUAAAGGCCCACCAAGGCGACGAUGCGUAGCGGGUCUGAGAGGAUGAUCAGCCACACUGGAACUGAGACACGGUCCAGACUCCUACGGGAGGCAGCAGUGGGGAAUAUUGGACAAUGGGCGCAAGCCUGAUCCAGCCAUACCGCGUGGGUGAAGAAGGCCUUCGGGUUGUAAAGCCCUUUUGUUGGGAAAGAAAAGCAGCAGGUUAAUACCCCGCUGUUCUGACGGUACCCAAAGAAUAAGCACCGGCUAACUUCGUG